rfam:Camelus ferus unplaced genomic scaffold scaffold1913, whole genome shotgun sequence.
GAGGGUAUAGCUCAAGUGGUAGAGUGCAUGCCCAGCAUGCAUGAGGUCCUGGGUUCAAUUCCCCAUACCUCCU